rnacentral:rRNA from 1 species
AUACGGAGGAUCCGAGCGUUAUCCGGAUUUAUUGGGUUUAAAGGGAGCGUAGGUGGACAGUUAAGUCAGUUGUGAAAGUUUGCGGCUCAACCGUAAAAUUGCAGUUGAUACUGGCUGUCUUGAGUACAGUAGAGGUGGGCGGAAUUCGUGGUGUAGCGGUGAAAUGCUUAGAUAUCACGAAGAACUCCGAUUGCGAAGGCAGCACACUGUACUGCAACUGGAUCUGAUGCUCGAAAGUGUGGGUAUGAGACAGGAAUAGGUACCCUGGUAGUCCACACAGUAAACGAUUAAUACUCGCGGUUUGCGAUAUACAGUAAGCGGCCAAGCGAAAGCAUUAAGUAUUCCACCUGGGUAUUACACCGGCCACGGUGAAACUCAAUGGAAUUGACGGGG